AUGUGGUUGAUUGCUUGUAGUUGUACAGUGUCUUUGCAGAAUUUGUUAUUGUAUGGGGAUGAGGAGAUUACUGUCGGAUCGUUGGCGCUAACCAUUAAUCCCAAAAGCUCGAGCUGUUAGAAAUACGCAACCAAUUCACUUAAAGCGUACAGAAACAGCGCCCACGAGUCUCGAUUGUGACUCGGCCCACCUGGCCUCACGCCACUUCGAAUAUGACUCGGCCCAACCCAGCCUCACGCCAUUUCGAACAUGACUCGGCCCUCAUGGCCCUCCGCCACAGGGCAGGA
rnacentral:lncRNA from 1 species